UCAAGCUACUAAGGGCAUACGGUGGAUGCCUUGGCACUAAGAGCCGAUGAAGGACGCGGUAAGCUGCGAAAAGCCACGGGGAACUGCAAGCAAGUCUUGAUCCGUGGAUGUCCGAAUGGGGAAACCCACCAUCCGUCAUGGGAUGGUAUCCUACGGGAGGGGAACCCGGUGAACUGAAACAUCUAAGUAGCCGGAGGAAGAGAAAUCAAACGAGAUGCCCACAGUAGCGGCGAGCGAAGAGGGCAGAGCCUAAACCAGUCAUCUUCGGAUGGUUGGGGUUACGGACCUGCAUCAACCGAGUCCUACCUAGUCGAAUUACCUGGAAAGGUAAGCCAGAGAGCGUAAGAGCCGCGUAGGUGAAAGGAAGGACGAGGGGGCAGGGAUCCAGAGUACCACGAAGCACGAGGAAUUUUGUGGGAAGUCGGGGGGACCACCCUCCAAGGCUAAACACUUCUUAGUGACCGAUAGCGCAUAGUACCGUGAGGGAAAGGUGAAAAGAACCGCGGGAGCGGAGUGAAAGAGAACCUGAAACCGUAUGUCUACAAGCAGUCGGAGCGCAAGCGACGGCGUGCCUAUUGAAGAAUGAGCCAACGAGUUACGGGCACCAGCGAGGUUAAGCAGGAAAUGCGGAGCCGGAGCGAAAGCGAGUCUAAACAGGGCGAAUAGUUGGUGUUCGUAGACCCGAAACUGUAGUGAUCUACCCAUGAUCAGGUUGAAGCGCAGGUAAAAAUGCGUGGAGGACCGAACCGGUGAGCGUUGAAAAGCUUUCGGAUGAAUCGUGGGUAGCGGUGAAAUUCCAAUCGAACGCAGAGAUAGCUGGUUCUCCUCGAAAUAGCUUUAGGGCUAGCCUCAAGCAGUAAGCAUAGGCGGUAGAGCACUGAUCGGGAUAGGGUCCGUAAAGGAUACCGAACCCUGUCAAACUACGAAUGGUUAUGCUGCAGAGCUUGGGAGUCAGACUACGAGAGAUAAGUCCCGUUGUCAAAAGGGAAACAGCCCAGACCGUCAGCUAAGGUCCCCAAUGCCAUACUAAGUGGAAAAGGAUGUGGGGUCUCAUAAACAACCAGGAUGUUGGCUCAGAAGCAGCCACCAUUUAAAGAGUGCGUAAUAGCUCACUGGUCGAGAGGCCCUGCGCCGAAGAUUCCCGGGGCUAAAGUAUGGAACCGAAGCUACGGAUGCGGUACUUGUACCGCGUGGUAGAGGAGCGUUCCCAUUGGGUUGAAGUCGUCCUGGAAGGGACGGUGGACUGGUGGGAAGUGAGAAUGUUGGCAUGAGUAGCGAAAAGAUAGGUGAGAAUCCUAUCCACCGAAAGCAUAAGGAUUCCUGAGCAACGAUCGUCGUCUCAGGGUAAGUCGGGACCUAAUCCGAGGCAUGGAGCGUAGGAGAUGGACAACUGGUUGAUAUUCCAGUACCGGCAGCAAUCGUUUGAACGAUGGAGUGACGCAGGAAGGCAGGUCCGCGCGAGAAUGGUAGAUCGCGUACAAGCGUGCAGGCUGGUGCACAGGCAAAUCCGUGUACUGAGGCUGAGGCGUGAUGUGGAGGGAACUUGUUCCCGAAGGGAUUGAGCCUACGCUGCCGAGAAAAGCUUCUAGUGAGAAAGCUGCCGCCCGUACCGUAAACCGACACAGGUAGGCGGGGAGAGAAUCCUAAGGUGCGCGGGAAAACCCUCGUUAAGGAACUCGGCAAAUUGCAUCCGUAACCUAGGGAGAAGGAUGGCCCCCGGUCAGUGAAGAGCAGAAACGCUCAGAGCUAAAAGGGGCGGCAGAAAAGAGGCCCAAGCAACUGUUUACCAAAAACACAGGUGCCUGCGAAAGCGAAAGCUGAAGUAUAGGUGCUGACGCCUGCCCGGUGCCGGAAGGUUAAGGAGAGAAGUUAGCGAAAGCGAAGCAUCGAACUGAAGCCCCGGUGAACGGCGGCCGUAACUAUAACGGUCCUAAGGUAGCGAAAUUCCUUGUCGGGUAAG
rnacentral:rRNA from 1 species